CAGCAGUCGCCGCGGGAAUACGUAGGGUGCGAGCGUUAAUCGGAAUUACUGGGCGUAAAGCGUGCGCAGGCGGUUCGUUAAGACAGAUGUGAAAUCCCCGGGCUUAACCUGGGAACUGCAUUUGUGACUGGCGGGCUAGAGUAUGGCAGAGGGUGGUAGAAUUCCACGUGUAGCAGUGAAAUGCGUAGAGAUGUGGAGGAAUACCGAUGGCGAAGGCAGCCCCCUGGGCCAAUACUGACGCUCAUGCACGAAAGCGUGGGGAGCAAACAGGAUUAGAUACCCGAGUAGUCCCUGUCUCUUAUAC
rnacentral:rRNA from 1 species